GUUCAGGACUCUUGAAGAGCUGGAAUGUUCAUUGAUAUCAGGCAGGACAGGAACUGACUGCGUGAACUGAACUAACAGACUGGAGUGAUCUUUUUGAUGUUUUGCUCGGAAUAUUGUUGGUCCUUUGUUUGCUUUUCAGAGUCAAAGAGGCUUUUCUUUUGAGCUAUCAACAGCUUUUGACAGUUUGGUGUGCUCCCAUGAACAAAAUUUGAGGCAUGCUUAUUUCUCUCUGCCUGGUUUUCUCCCGAGUCUGGAAACUACCUCUGGAGAUCACUAAAACCUAAGCUGUGCUUUCUUGAAGCCCUGUGAGCUGAAAAUUAGAUGUUUCAGUGGGCGCUGCCUCUGGGCCUCUGAGGCAGAGUGUGCUACCCAGAACAAAUCGACCUCUUCCACUCCAGCACCAUGUUCAGUGUCCCAUAACGACAACCCUCUCUCAGCAGGAAGUAGCCAGAAAGAGCACGUCGCCCCUCAUCCUUUUAUAACUAUAGGGUCUGGAUUGACAAAGCAGGAGCAUCAACAUUUUGGACAAACAGCAGCAUUUUAAGUUCCCCUUGAUUAAAAACCGCCUAAAUCCAGCCCCCAAAAAAUCAGCCUAAUGGCUGUCAGCAUGACCAUAAACCACAAAUGACACCUCCAAUCAGAAACAUUCCAACCCUGAGAUAAAGCGCCCUCCAACCAGAAACAUUCCUACCCCGAAAUCAAACACUCCUCUGACCAGAAACAUUCCCAACCUGCGAUAAGCUCUCCCUCCCUAAACCCUUAAAUACCCUUAGUCUGUAAGAG
rnacentral:lncRNA from 10 species